rnacentral:rRNA from 1 species
UACGGAGGGGACUAGCGUUGUUCGGAAUUACUGGGCGUAAAGCGCACGUAGGCGGAUUUGUAAGUCAGGGGUGAAAUCCCGGGGCUCAACCUCGGAACUGCCUUUGAUACUGCAAAUCUCGAGUCCGGAAGAGGUGAGUGGAAUUCCUAGUGUAGAGGUGAAAUUCGUAGAUAUUAGGAAGAACACCAGUGGCGAAGGCGGCUCACUGGUCCGGUACUGACGCUGAGGUGCGAAAGCUAGGGGAGCGAACGGG